rnacentral:misc_RNA from 1 species
UGCUCGAAAACGAACACUCGUGUGCUAGUCGACUGCUGAAACUGACAGAACGAUAAAACGUAGGCUCAACGGACCUCCCCUUCCCCCCGUCUGCCCACUACGUGUUUUCCGCUCCCAUCUCCAACUGUGUGUGUGUGUGUGUGUGUCUGUGUCUCCAUGCCAAGUUCACUGGGGCAGCUCUCGUCCUUUGCUUUCUUUGUAGUCUCCCGCUCUGCCGUGGCGGUUGUUUCCUUCCUUUUCCCCUUUUCGCUUCCAAACCAUUUCUUCGCUAGCAACCAUGAACCACGAUGAUGCGAUGUGGAACAUCAUGGGCCAGACGUUCUGCUCCUUCAAGGUCAAGACGAACGACGACAAGGUUCGCUUCUGCCGAAACCCGUACAACGUGACUGGUCUCUGCCAGCGUGGUGUGUGCCCGCUCUCCAACGCGCAGUACGCCACCGUCAUCGAGCACGAGGACGAGCUAUACCUGUACGUCAAAACUGCUGAGCGGGCUCACCUGCCGCGGCGGCAGUGGGAGAAGGUGAAGCUCGACGUCUCCUUCCCGAAAGCUCUGGCGCAGAUCGACGAGGAGCUGCAGUGGUGGGACCAGAAGCUGGUGAUCAAGAUCAAGGCCCGUUUGCUGCGACUGAAGCAGUACCUGAUGCGCAAGCGAAAAAUGCUGAUGGAGCCGCAGGACGAGUACGUGUCUGUGAACAAGCGUCAGGAGGACAAGCUGCUGCGGCGAGAGGAGAAGGCGGAGGCGGCGGCCCGCAUUGAGAUGGAGAUUGAGAAGGAGCUUCUCGAUCGUCUGCGCAAGGGUACCUACGAUAGCGUCAUCAACUACAACAAAGAGGCCUUCGAGAAGCUGCUCGACGAGGAGGAGAACCGCGAGGAAUUUGAGGCGCUGGAGCAAGACGAGGACGAAGAGUUCCCCGACUUUGUGAUGGACGAGGAGGACGAAGAGGAGGAGGAGGAUCGGGAAACGGUGCGCGGUGGGCGCAGCAAGAGCAAGAUUCGCAAGCGUGAUAAGCUGGUAAUCGAGGAGGAGGUGGAGCGGGAGCUGGCGCCGCGCCAGCGCGCGCGCUUGGAGGACCUUGAGUGGUAGCAUCGCUUCGCUUCUCGCUCGCGUGUAUCUUCGCGCAAAGGGAGCGCCGAGAGACGGUGAGGGAGAGAGGGAAGGGGGAGGGAGGAUGGCGUAUGCCUAUGUGCGCUUGCUUUUGCGUGACCGCACCUCUGCCCGGCCGUCGUGGUGGCUUUCUAAGAUCCUUCAUAGGCGGGCAGUGUCUCGGUCGCCGGUCUUGCACUCCCAGCGACGCACUCCACGACUCUCUCUCUCUUUCAUCUUUGCUCAUCUCCUCUCGCUGCACUGCAUCGCAAUGACAGACGUGUGUGUGUGUGUGUGUGUGUGUGCAUGUGUGAGGCAGUAGCGGCACAUGCACGUGUGCGCACGGACACCGACAAGUCUGGCCCUGUGUCGAAGAGACGCAUGCUCCAGCUGUCGUGCUACUAUGACGGUGAUUUGUGACGCUGCCGCAGCUAGUGCACAUGACCGGGUGCACAAGCCCACUCUCUCCGUGCUGGCGGCGGGGUGCUCGGCGUUCCCCUCUCUCUGCUUCUCUGUUCAUAUGCGGACACUUUCUUUCGCGUUUUGUUUUGCAUCUUCGGGUGCCAACUCUUUCUCUCCGCGCGGUGUUCGCUCAUGCGACAUGCUCUCACCUUGUCCUCAUCUUUUUCUUUUUCCGUCCCGUUCUGUCGUUCUUGGCGAAGAUGUUGAUGUGUUGGCCACCUGUCUGUCGGUGCUCUAUGGCGUACGCUUAAUCGACAUUAAAGAGUGGAGGACGCAAGCUUCUGGGAGAGAGAGGGAGAGAGACAAGAGCAUAUAUAUAUAUAUAUAUAUAUAUAUGUACAGAAAAAGAAAACGAUGAACUCGGAGCCAAGCGGCUGCAUGCUUGCCUCCGUGUGUGUGCAUGCAUGCGUGCGUGCGUGUGUACACGCUUGUCGUCUCUCUUGCGCUCGGUUUCCUCCGUCCCUCACAUCCUUCUUGUCUUUGCUCUCUUACGUAAUGUGCAUGUAUGGUGCCCUUAGCCGCGUGCUUGU